rnacentral:rRNA from 1 species
UACGUAGGUGGCAAGCGUUGUUCGGAAUUACUGGGCGUAAAGCGCGUGUAGGCGGCUCUUCAAGUCAGACGUGAAAGCCCCGGGCUUAACUCGGGAACUGCGUUUGAUACUGUCGAGCUAGAGUGUGGAAGGGGCGAUUGGAAUUCCGUGUGUAGCGGUGAAAUGCGUAGAUAUUCGCAAGAACACCAGUGGCGAAGGCGGCUCACUGGCCCGGUACUGACGCUGAGGCACGAAAGCGUGGGGAGCAAACAGG